rnacentral:rRNA from 1 species
GAUGAACGCUGGCGGCGUGCCUAAUACAUGCAAGUCGAGCGAACAGACGAGGAGCUUGCUCCUCUGACGUUAGCGGCGGACGGGUGAGUAACACGUGGAUAACCUACCUAUAAGACUGGGAUAACUUCGGGAAACCGGAGCUAAUACCGGAUAAUAUAUUGAACCGCAUGGUUCAAUAGUGAAAGACGGUUUUGCUGUCACUUAUAGAUGGAUCCGCGCCGCAUUAGCUAGUUGGUAAGGUAACGGCUUACCAAGGCAACGAUGCGUAGCCGACCUGAGAGGGGGAUCGGCCACACUGGAACUGAGACACGGUCCAGACUCCUACGGGAGGCAGCAGUGGGAAUCUUCCGCAAUGGGCGAAAGCCUGACGGAGCAACGCCGCGUGAGUGAUGAAGGUCUUCGGAUCGUAAAACUCUGUUAUUAGGGAAGAACAAAUGUGUAAGUAACUAUGCACGUCUUGACGGUACCUAAUCAGAAAGCCACGGCUAACUACGUG